GGUGCUCGGAGGGAGGUUGUCCGUGGUGAGUUCGCAUUAUUUAAUGAUGCCCAAUACACGGUCGAUCUCUUUUCGGUACC
rnacentral:pre_miRNA from 1 species